AAGUAGUUUCCCUCUGAUGUUAUUUUGAAUUAUUUGAAUUGAUUAUCUAAUUUACCUUACCUUAUUUUGAAUUACCAUGUAAUAGUUUUUAAGUCACUGUUGAAACAUCCCAGUAUUCCAAAUUAAUAGUAUGGCAACAAGUUAACCAUCCUCUUUGUGUGUUGUUGUAUUGAGUGGAGGCCGAUGCUUCUUGGUGUUGCCACGAAGAAGUCUCGAGCUCCCUUUUUACUACAGCAUCACAUCCAAGUGGUUGGUUCUCUGCAGCUUUUUAUCAUCUACAUAAAAUGUAAGUUGUAUCCCAUACACCCCUCUAAAUAAAAGACAACCAUAUCAUCCCAUUUUGAACUCAAUCAUCUCGGGUUUUCAUUUAAAAGGCAAGUGAGGUGAUUCAUUCCUCAAUAAACUUGAAGCUUUUAUUUUAUUUGAAAUAAAAUAAAAAAUAUAAAUAGUGAAUUUGGAGUAAUUUUCAAACAAAACGAAAAAUAUACUACAUCUCCGUAGUAUGAAUUUGCCAUGUGCAAAGUUUCUCCACAUUAAUGACACAAAUCCCAGCUCAUUUACUCCCAAAUAGCUAAAAUCCCUUAUUGAUAUUGAACAUGGUCCUUCGAACCUUUAUUGAACACAGCUUAAUGGUUAAAUACCUCAAAAGUUCAUUUUGUUAGUAUCACGGAAACCCUAACUCGCUGUAACAAAUGUCAAACUGUCGUUUUUUUACAUGUGCCAAGACCGAAAGGAGAAUUAUAAGUUUUUAUUAAAUAUUUUUCAUCAGACAACGGAAAGUUAGUUCAAGAUCGUGAAAUCGGUGGAAAACUAUUGUUCUCCAUCCCACGCAACGAGAACGCGAAGAAUUGCUGAAAUUUUUAGUUACAAGGCCCUGACACGUGUAGGUAACGGUUCAAGGCCACCAACCUUGGAAACGGGCACAUUCUGCAGGAACUGUACACUUCAGCAAAACCACAAAAUUAAUUAAUCGAUAAUAAAGGCGGCGGCAUCGUAACUUCCAAUUACAGGAAGCCCCAUCAUCGCAUAAAGUAAUGUGAAUAAUAUCCAAUAUUUCUUUUGGAAAACAUACAGAACGUACAUAAAUACGUAGUCUUCGCCUGAACCACGUUAUCUAAAUGUAUGUACAUCCCUGUUUAAAAUAGGAGGCGACAAAAUUUCGAAAGGCUUGUACAACUAAAUUGUUCUCACCGACUCAUUCCUCCAAGUCAAUAGACAGGGACACCCAAUUUCUAAACCCUUUCAACUGCACCACCUCGUCAGCAGUAUAUUUUCUUUGGUGAUGUCCCGCUGGAUUAAUGAUAUAUUGUAGACAGUUCUUAAAAAUGGCGGUCAAAGAUCGUCGUCGUGCUGUUGUUCGCCAUAAGUAUUGCUUAAAUUGUUUGGCCCGUUCGCAUAAAACAGCGCAGUGCACAUCAACUAAUUUAUGCCAAAGUUGCGAAAGGGGACACCACACCCUACUCCAUGAACCAAUUCAACAAAGACUACAACCAGAACGAUGCCGAGCUGACAGAAGAAGAGUUCUAAAAAACAAAUGCCAACGUCCAACUACACAAUUGCGUCCAGCCGAGAGAGGUGGUCAUAACUCAGCAAAUUCUAGACUACGUUAUGGUAAUAACAGUAAUUCAGAAAAAUCUCAACGGUGCCUGGAGAAAGCUUUUCGUAUAUUGAACCAGCUCAAACGCGCUCUAUAAUUGUUGCCCUUUCCGGCCAAGGGGGGCAGGAUGUUGAAAGUAGUUUCCCUCUGAUGUUAUUUUGAAUUAUUUGAAUUGAUUAUCUAAUUUACCUUACCUUAUUUUGAAUUACCAUGUAAUAGUUUUUAAGUCACUGUUGAAACAUCCCAGUAUUCCAAAUUAAUAGUAUGGCAACAAGUUAACCAUCCUCUUUGUGUGUUGUUGUAUUGAGUGGAGGCCGAUGCUUCUUGGUGUUGCCACGAAGAAGUCUCGAGCUCCCUUUUUACUACAGCAUCACAUCCAAGUGGUUGGUUCUCUGCAGCUUUUUAUCAUCUACAUAAAAUGUAAGUUGUAUCCCAUACACCCCUCUAAAUAAAAGACAACCAUAUCAUCCCAUUUUGAACUCAA